CUUUUCUUCCUUACAAAGUAGCCUGGUAAGUGCUCAUACAACGCCUAGCAUAGACAACAUAGUGGGACAAUGUCAUGUACCCACUGAAAGCUAUAUGUACUCCUUGGCUAGGCUAUGCACAUCAUUGAUCUCGUGUGAUGUUUCCACACCACACCACAUCCUCACAAAAAUAACUCAUGUUGAUCUUGAUAAUCAAUCAAUGUCAGCGUGCACGUAGUCUACAAACACGAAAUGCUUC
rnacentral:lncRNA from 1 species